rnacentral:rRNA from 1 species
AUUGAACGCUGGCGGCAUGCCUUACACAUGCAAGUCGAACGGUAACAGGUCUUCGGAUGCUGACGAGUGGCGAACGGGUGAGUAAUACAUCGGAACGUGCCCGAUCGUGGGGGAUAACGCAGCGAAAGCUGUGCUAAUACCGCAUACGAUCUACGGAUGAAAGCGGGGGAUCGCAAGACCUCGCGCGGACGGAGCGGCCGAUGGCAGAUUAGGUAGUUGGUGGGAUAAAAGCUUACCAAGCCGACGAUCUGUAGCUGGUCUGAGAGGACGACCAGCCACACUGGGACUGAGACACGGCCCAGACUCCUACGGGAGGCAGCAGUGGGGAAUUUUGGACAAUGGGCGCAAGCCUGAUCCAGCCAUGCCGCGUGCAGGAUGAAGGCCUUCGGGUUGUAAACUGCUUUUGUACGGAACGAAAAGCUCUCUCUAAUACAGGGGUGAAGUGACGGUACCGUAAGAAUAAGCACCGGCUAACUACGUGCCAGC